UAGUAGCCGCCGGUCUGAACGGGAUUCAUUGAUGUUGAGUAUUAAGGUUAAUUCAACCGCUACUAA
rnacentral:tRNA from 1 species